UUUUUUUUUUUCAUUUUUUGUUGGUCCAUAUAUUCUAAAUUUUAUUUAUACCUAUAUAUUUGUUACAAGAAUAUAUAACAAUAAAAAGUAAAGGAUAAAAAUCUAUUUAAAAGAAAUAUAAAUUAAAUGGGGAAUACUAUAUGAAAGCAGAAUAGAAAAAGUUCUCAGGAUAUACUGAUACUAGCUAUUGAAGGCAUGAAAGAUAAUGGUUUCUAUUUUGAUGAGAUUAACUGAACAUAAAAGAGUCAGUUAUAGGUUCUGCUAUACAUUUGAUAAUGUCUUAUUAAAUAUUCAUGAUUUCUCUAGAAAAUAGUUCUUCAAAAUAUUUUAACUUUUUGAGUUCAAGAUCUCAGAGGGAGCGUGAGAACAAGAGUGAGGGUGAGAGAGACAGAAAGAGAGAGAGAGAAAUUUUAUCCUUUUGGUCUUCACAAUAAUUUUAUUGUUUUUGUUUUUUGUUUUUUUGAGACAGUUUUGCUCUUUUGCCAGGCGGGAGUGAAGUGGCAAGAUAUUGGCUCACUGCAACCUCCGCCUCCCACGUUCAAGCAAUUCUCCUGCCUCAGCCUCCCGAGUAGCUGGGAUUAUAGGCGCCAGCCACCAAGCCCAACAGUUUUUGUAUUUUUAGUAGAGACAGGGUUUUGCCAUGUUGGCCAGGCUGGUUUUGACCUCCUGACCUCAGGUAAUCCACCCACCUUGGCCUCCCAAAGUGCUAGGAUUACAGGUGUGAGCCACUGCGCCCAGCCUGGAAUUUUAAUAAUACAACAACAAUACAAAAUGUUAACGAAUAAUAUUAGUGUUAUUUACAUCUUUUUUUCUUUUUCUUAGACCAUCUUGCUCUUCUCCAGGCAGGAGUACAGUGGCAUAAUCAUAGCUACCUGUAAUCUCAAACUCCUGGGCUCAAGCAAUCCUCCUACUCCAGCUCCCUAAGCUGGGACUACUAGCACAUGCCACCACACCAACUAACAUUUUGAUUUUUUGUAGAGACAAGGCCUCAUUAUGUCACCCAGGCUGACCUUGAACUUUUGGCCUCAAGUGAUCAUCUUGCCUAGGCCUCCCAAAAUGCUGGGAUUACAGGCAUGAGCCACUGUACCCAGUGGUUUAUCUUAUUAAUAAUUAUUAAUAGUUAUUCCAACACCUUACAGUUGUACAGCAUUCUGCAAUACACAUAUAUCUAUUUUUAUCUUCACAACAAAUUUUUCAGUUUGGAGGAGUCCCCAUUAUUUUACAGACGGAAUUGAGGCUGUUUUAAUUCAUAAAACUCAUAGUCAGUUUUAAAAAUAGAGCUUCUGAUUCCCAAUCCAGCUUUCUUGCCUCUGCAUCAUUUUGUUUAUGUUUAAAAGCUGCCAGCCAGGUGCGGUGGCUCAUGCCUGUAAUCCCAACACUUUGGGACGCCGAGCCGAGUAGAUUACCUGAGGUCAGGAGUUUAAGACCAGCCUGACCAACAUGGUGAAACCCCAUCUCUACGAAAAAUACAAAAAAUUAGCUGGGCGUGGUGGCAGACGUCUGUAAUCCCAGCUACUUGGGAGGCUGAGGCAGGAGAAUCGCUUGAACCGAGGUGGAGGUUGCAGUGAGCCGAGAUCAUGCCAUUGCACUCCAGCCUGGACGACAAAAGCAAAACUCCACUUCAAAAAAAAAAAAAAACAGUUGCCAACUACAAACAAGUUAAGUUCUCCUGGAAACAUCUCAGUCAGUACAGUGCUGUGAGGUACAUUUAAUAGUAAUUUUCCACACAUCAAAAAUAUGAAUACUACUUGCCUAUGUUUUACUUAAUAGGAAUGAGCGUACAGCAUAGAAGUGAUUCAUAACUUUAAAAAAUUCCCUUGGCUUGACUACUAAAUAAAAAUACAUAUUUCUCAAGAUGACAAACAAUAGCAUUUUCUUCUGUGUUUCUGAAAAUGCUUCUUGACUUUAUUCUCUUAGUACUUUUUGGACUUUAAAAUUUAAUAAUGCUAUUUAGUAUAAUGUCAACUUCAUCUAGUUAUUUUUAUAUAUUUUGAGUAAGAUAUUCCAUGGUUCUUAAGAUUCUUAUAAAACAGUUCUGAAAGGAAAACAUUAUUUUGGUAAUAGCUUUAUUGAAAUAUAAUUCACAUCAUAAAAAUCAACCGUGUAAAGUACAAUUCAGUACUUUUUUAGUAUAUCCACAAAGUCAUGCAGCCAUCCCCAUAGAAAAUUUUAGAACAUUUUUAUCACCUCCAAAAGAAAUCUUAUACCCUUAUGGUGACCCUCCAUCCUCCUAUUCCUCCAGCCCAAGGCAACCACUAAUCUACUUUCUGUCCCUAUAGAUUUACCUAUUUCAGACAUUUUAUAUAUAUACAGUUACAUCAUAUGUGGUGUUUUGUAACUGACAUCUUUAACUUAGUAUAAUGCUUUCAAGGUUCAUGCAUGUUGUAGUAUGUGUCAACAUUUCAUUCCUUUUUAUUGCUGAAUAAUAAUUUUUGUAUGGAUAUACAACAUUUGUUCAUCCACUUAGUUGAUGGACAUUUACGUUGUUUCCAGCAUUUGGCUAUUAUAAAUAAUGCUGUUAUGAACAUUCAUGUACAGAUUUGUGUGUGCACAUAUAUUUUCAUUUCUCUUGAGUGUAUCUAGGAGUGGAAUUGUUGGAUCAUAUGGUAACUCUAUAUUUAUCCUUUUGAGGAACUGCCACACUGUUUUCCAAAGCAGCUGCACCAUUUUACAUUCCUACCAGAGAGAAAAAUACUUUUUUUAAGGAGAGAGAAAUGAAGCUAUAUACACUUAAUAAAACGUACUUAAAGGCACAGUAUAUAUAGCUCUCUAGUAACUGAAGUUUCACAAAUUUAAAUUUCCUUUCUCCUUACAGUAAUUUGUUCUACCCCAUAAAUACCUAUGAAUUAAAAAAAAAAAUAGCUCUAGAAUUACUUAAGUAAACUAUAAUGCUGACUUACUUUUAACAAUACUGAAGUCAAUUUCUUGGUGAAGACAUACAUGAAUUUUAAUAAUAAAAAUAUAAAAUAGGUGGCACUCUGUUAACACUAGAUAUUUUCAUUUCUUGUUGGUUACUGUUGAAGAUAUGACAGAAUUUUCAUCGUAGAAUAUAUCACACAAAUUUAGUAUUUGGAGAAAACUGGAGAACCUAAUGAUCUCAAUGAAUGUUCAAAAACUGUUUAUAAUCUAAGAGUCAGGCUAAGUAUCUCAAACUCAUCACAUUUUAAGCCUAGUAAUUUAGAAACCGUAUAUGAGAUCCUGCCAGUUCCAGCCAAUUAAGUCUAAUAAAUACAUGGGUCACUGAUUUGAAAUUCUUCCCUUCUUUUUUCCGAUGGUAAUUUCAGUGUGUGUCUCUCUCUCCUUCCCCAAAUCCAGACCAGUAUUAAUUACGCCAAAUGAAAUGACUACAAAUCAAACAUACAGAAAUAUAAUUUGCCAACGUACUAUCUGCAACACAGAUCUGCUUUUACUUUAUCCCAUAAAUGAGUCUGUAUAUUCCAGGAGAAUGCUCCAAAUGAACUUAAAAAAUGAGUUUAAUGGACAAAGAACCAGAGGUAAGUUCCUAUCCACUUACAGGGACACAAGGCUAAGACAAAGUUCUGUCCUCAAGGACCAUAUGAAAGACAGAACAUGUUGUGCAAACAGUACCUUUAUUUUGCAAUAAAAUUGGAAAGCCAAGUGCUGUUGUGUCAUAGUUGUAGGUAGUUUCUCCAAAAUAGGAACAAGCACAUGUGGUGGUUUCAUUUCACUUUAUUUCAUGAAAAUUACUUAUAACUGGGCAGAAUGACGUCUCACUAUUUUUUUCCCUUUCUGAAUUUUUUAUUGUUCCAGAAAAGCAUGUGGUUUUUAUGGGACCAAGAAUGGAGAGAAAAAAAAGAUUUUCUAAAAGAAAAACUGAUUUAUUUUUAAAAUAUAUCUAAUGUACUAGAAACUGAAAAAGGAAAUAUUUUAUAUCUUUCUCUGACCAUGGAAAGAAACUUUUCCUUUGUUUCACUUAGUUGAAAUAGUAUAUUCUCCUCAAGUCAUACCAUUCAAACAUUUUAUAUACAAGGACCCCAAUGGUCAUUGUUAGCAUUCUCAGUGCUACCUUUCAGCUCUAAGACCUUGGUUUCCCGACUCUUCAGGCACUGAACCAUAAGGCCAUUCUCCCCACAUUGAGACUUUGCCAUCACUCACAUUUUGUCAAGGCUUUAGGAACUAUAAAGAAUACUAUUCAGUCUUAAAAAAGAGGGAAAUUCUAUCAUUUGUGAUGAUGUGGUUGGAAUUGGAGAACAAUGCUAAGUGAAGUAAGUCAGGCAUGGAAGAUACCACAUGUUCUCCCUUAUAUGUAGAAUCUAAAACAACUGAACUCAGAAGCAGAGAACAGAAUCACCAUUCUACCCUGCAGAGGCUGGGGAUGGGGAGAUAAUAGUCAAAGGAUACAAAAUCUCAGAUGAGAGGAAUUUCUCUUUCUAGUUCUAUCACACAGCACGGUGAAUAUAGUUCAUGAGAGAAUACUAUACAUAUAAAACCGAAUGAGAAAGUAAUUUUCAAAUGUUCUUACCACAAAAGAUAUUAAGUAUUUGAGGUAAUGGAGAUGUUAACUACCUGGAUUUAAGUAUUCUGCAUUACAUUCAGAAAUCAUAAUAUCACUUUUUACCCUACAAAAUUAUACAAUUAUAAAUUGCCAAUUAACAAGUAGUAGUAGUAACAGUAGGUUAGUCGGUCAACCUUUUGAUCCUAUAAAGGGUGAAGAAACAUUUUAAGACUCCAGCUACUAAACCCGAC
rnacentral:lncRNA from 1 species